GGGAGGCGGCGGCGGCCGGGAGGAGGAGGAGGAGGAGGAGGAGGAGCAGGCGCCGCCAUGGCCGCCGCUAUCACCGACAUGGCCGACCUGGAGGAGCUCUCCCGCCUGAGCCCCCUGCCCCCUGGCAGCCCCGGGCCGGCGGCGCGGGGCCGGGCUGAGCCCCCCGAGGAGGAGGAGGAAGAGGAGGAAGAGGAAGAGGAGGCGGAGGCCGAGGCGGUGGCGGCGCUGCUGCUGAACGGCGGCGGUAGUGGGGGCGGCGGCGGCGGCGGAGUGGGGGGCGGCGAGGCGGAGACGAUGUCGGAGCCGAGCCCCGAGAGCGCCAGCCAGGCCGGGGAGGACGAGGACGAGGAGGAGGACGAGGAGGAGGAAGACGAGAGCAGCAGCAGCGGCGGGGGCGAGGAGGAGAGCAGCGCCGAGAGCCUGGUGGGCAGCAGCGGCGGGAGCAGCAGCGACGAGACGCGCUCGCUGAGCCCGGGCGCCGCCAGCAGCAGCAGCGGGGAUGGGGACGGCAAGGAGGGCCUGGAGGAGCCCAAGGGACCGCGGGGCAGCCAGGGCGGCGGCGGGGGCGGCAGCAGUAGCAGCAGCGUCGUCUCCAGCGGCGGCGACGAGGGCUACGGGACCGGGGGAGGCGGAAGCAGCGCGACCUCGGGGGGCCGGCGAGGCAGCUUGGAGAUGUCGUCGGAUGGGGAACCCCUGAGCCGCAUGGACUCGGAGGACAGCAUAAGCAGUACUAUAAUGGAUGUAGACAGCACAAUUUCCAGUGGGCGUUCAACUCCAGCAAUGAUGAAUGGACAAGGAAGCACUACUUCUUCAAGCAAAAAUAUUGCCUAUAAUUGUUGUUGGGACCAGUGCCAGGCUUGCUUCAACUCUAGUCCAGAUCUGGCAGAUCACAUCCGUUCCAUACAUGUAGAUGGUCAGCGAGGAGGGGUAUUUGUUUGCUUAUGGAAAGGUUGUAAAGUAUAUAACACUCCGUCAACCAGUCAGAGUUGGUUACAGAGGCACAUGCUGACACACAGUGGAGACAAACCUUUCAAGUGUGUUGUUGGUGGCUGCAAUGCCAGCUUUGCUUCUCAGGGAGGGCUAGCUCGCCAUGUACCCACACACUUCAGUCAGCAGAACUCCUCAAAAGUUUCUAGCCAGCCAAAGGCCAAAGAAGAGUCUCCCUCUAAAGCUGGAAUGAACAAAAGAAGGAAAUUAAAGAACAAAAGACGACGCUCAUUACCACGACCGCAUGAUUUCUUCGAUGCACAAACACUGGAUGCGAUAAGGCAUCGAGCCAUAUGCUUUAACCUCUCAGCUCACAUAGAAAGUUUAGGGAAGGGACACAGUGUUGUUUUUCAUAGUACUGUAAUAGCUAAGAGAAAAGAAGAUUCUGGAAAGAUAAAACUUUUGCUUCAUUGGAUGCCUGAAGACAUGACUCCAUAUCCUGCUACUUAAAUUGCUGUUUCCCUGGCUUCUGAGAAGCUUCUUAACCUAGGUGGCCCAGUCAAACCAGUGGAAAAGGCUGGAUAAUGCGAAGAACAAUGCCGCAGAAGAGGUUGAAGAGGUAAAAAAUAAAUAAAUACAUAAAAAGCAAACAAGCGGGGACACCUGCAGUCUUAGUCACUGACAAUGGGUUUAGUAAAAGUUGCACAUUAGAGUCAACCCCCUUCCUUUUUGUUUUGUUUUGUUUUAAAAUCCAGUAUUUAGAAUAAUAUUUAUGCUUAGUGUAAACAUUCUGUGAAUGAAGUAGGCUCUUCUGUGGAAUAUAUUAAUAUAUUACUGUAUAUCCACAUUUUCAUGGAAUGGUACUGUGGGAGACUGAGCAAACACUCUUUCUGGCAACGUAGUGGAACAGCUUCUUAAAGGCUUUGCAUGCUUGCUGCUUUAAGCUGCUUUUUUUUUCCCCUUUAGUGAUUACAGUAGUUCAUAUUGGAAAGAAAAACAGUUACAACACGUGCCCUUACAAAUACCAAAAGCACUGUAAGGAUGUUUGUCUUGACAGUGUCUAUUGAUUUGAAGUCAUAUUAGGAAAUAUUUAGACAAUGAAAAUUAUCAAGAGAUAAUUUACCUUUCAAUUAUGAUAAAUAGAUGUGAUUGGUUGCCAUUUGUGUUCUUUUGCAGAACUCUGAUAAGAAAAGUGUUCAAUUUGUAUUUAAGCAAACAGUGAACGACAUUUGCAAUCAACUAAAAAUUCGUCUAUCGAAUUAGGGCUGAAAAUUUCUGUUAAAGAGUGUUGCAGUAUGUCUGGUGGCUCCCUUUUCAGGACUAGGGUUUUCUCAUGGAGUACAGUAUGUUAAUAUUUACCUAUAUAACUAAUCUGUUAACGGUUUUUGAAAAACCUCUAUUUCAAAUUAUUUGAAUAAUCCUCAUAUUUUCAUUUUAACCUAUAUAAGACUCCAAUUUUUUUUCUGAGGAAAGCAUUUGGUUUAUGAGUUAUUUUGUCUUAAUGUAAAGAAAAUUGUAUUUUUUUUUUUUUUAAAGUAUCUUCAAACUGAAUCCUUUAUGCACCAAAGUUGGUUUUGAAAAGGAAAAUAAAAUCAUUUUCUUGCUUGGUAAGCAAGAAGCCAUAUGGAUUUUUUUUUAACAGAAAUGGAAAUAUGUGUAACUUGUUAGUAUUGUAUCAAACAAAUGUUGCAUAGAGAUAAUAGAACAUUGCUUGUAAAUAAUUCAGCAGAUUUGUAAUAUAUUUUUAUAUUAUGAAAUGUACUGUAGAUGUUUUUCUAGAGGCAUGAAAGUUAAAUGUAUAUAUUAUGGGUAGAAAUAAUAUUGAAGGAUAUUGUAAUUCACUAGUGCUGCCAGAGGAAUUGUUAAUAAAGCACCUUCUUUAACAAUAAAUGUCUUUUUGCAGACUUAAGGGACUAUGUACUACUGUUAAUAUCUAUAAGAACAAAACACAUUGAACAUCCUUCCAGAAAGUCUUUGAGGGAGGACCUAUACCCAUAAUAGAAUUAUGGCACUCAUUUCUGACAGUGACUGUGAAAUCAAUUAUUUCCUUACUGUUGGAAGGACAUAUUGUAAAGUAUGUAGUAUACGCAGUCAAACUGCAGAAAAUACUCCUGAUUGAGGAGUUUUCACUUUACUACAGUGAUAUAAAAAACCAGCAAUUUUUACACUAAAUUUUUUAAAGAAAGAAUAGACAAAAAUAUAGACGUAAGCCUUUGGUUCCAAAAUGGGAAAGGUUCCAUAAUACAUAAAUCAUUUCUCAUUUACUUUAAAAAAAUUUUAAAAAUAAAAAUUAUGGAAGACUUUAUUCGUUAACAAUGAGGGUAAAGAGCUAUAUACAUGGAAUGAGUCAUAAAAUUAAAUGAAGUGCAAAUAAAAGCACUGCUACUAUAAGACAUUCUGGAAUGGUUGUUUAAUAAGGGUGUUAUCCAUAUGAUCUGUAGCAAAUGUGAUUUUAUUUUUAAAAAGAAAAGAAAAGCAGUGUGUUUUCUUACUAUUUUGUUCUUUUGCUUAAGCACUUCAUCAAUUGCUUUAUUCUGUAUCUACGAAGUAAUCUGCAAUCUCCUUUGUUCUUUUUAAAGUUUGAUUUGUUAUAAAAUUGCCAAAUAGAAGUGUUUCAGAUAUAUAGUUUGUACCUGUAUUUUUUAUUUUAUUGCCUCAUGUUCUUGUAACUCAUUCUUAAUUGACCGAUGAUUGUAGACCUUGCCUGAGUAUUUUUUCUAAUAAAACAAAGCAAAUCACGUUUAGCUUCCAAAUUGUAACAAUUCAAUUAAAUUUUAAAACUACAUCUGAAAUAUACUUCUAAUCUUUUCUUUAGGGGCAUAGUGAAUAAAUUAGUUGUUUCAUUGUGUGGAAAUAUUUAGAUGUCCAAACCAAAUUUCCUGGUUAUUGAUUAGCCUCUGAGUAUUCAGUCCCUCGUACUUUGCUGCUUAUCUGACUUUGGUCUGAUACUAUUGUUAACACACCAAAAAGAAUAUGGAAUUAAAAUGAAAUAGUUUUAUAA